UACGGGGGGGGGCAAGCGUUGUUCGGAAUUAUUGGGCGUAAAGCGCGCGCAGGCGGUCCUUUAAGUCUGAUGUGAAAGCCCACGGCUCAACCGUGGAGGGUCAUUGGAAACUGGGGGACUUGAGUACAGAAGAGAAGAGUGGAAUUCCACGUGUAGCGGUGAAAUGCGUAGAGAUGUGGAGGAACACCAGUGGCGAAGGCGACUCUUUGGUCUGUAACUGACGCUGAGGCGCGAAAGCGUGGGGAGCAAACAGG
rnacentral:rRNA from 1 species